CUGAGUCACAAUGUAGAAUGUGCCAAAGAAUUGUCCCACUGAAGGGACAUGAACAUGCGAUAUUUAUCCGGGGACUCCUGUUCUUCACUCUUAACUGCCUCGCAAUUUGUACCCGUCCAAUGUCCAGGCUGAACAUACUCCUAGAACAGAAGAGGCUCCUGCAUCACAGAGCUGAUUUUCCUAGCAGAGGGACCCAGACUAAGAAGAGACUCAGGGACUCGGCUGAUGAAGAUGAUCUCAACACAGGUUUCCAUGAUCACAACACCAGAGACAAGAGACUACAACAAAUCACACACUUCUUCUCACAGCCCAUUUGUCAAAUCUACCCUCUGUAUACCUAACUUUAAGGGGGCAGAGAAGGACUGGAAAUAUUGGGUGAUUGGCUCUGAUUCUCCACAAAAACUUAACAAGCUUAGUAGGUGAUGAAAAUGCAUUUUAAUGGGUAAAUAAUGUCAAUGAAAAAGCAAUGUAUACCACAAAUAGGGAAAUAGUAAUAAUCUCAAUAUAUUUGCGUAUUAUUGUGUUACUGGCAUAAAAUAUGCGCCCUGCUUAAAUUCGGGAGAAUUAAUGAAUGAAUGAGCUUUUUAGUGAGUAUAUAACGAUAAACUUUUCUCACUGAGAAAAAGACAAUGACAUCAUGAAGGUAAUUCUAUUAUUAUAUGAGAAAUUG
rnacentral:lncRNA from 1 species